rnacentral:lncRNA from 1 species
GGGGAGCUUCUUGGAAGAACACUCACAGUGUGUGCUACCCUUCUGCAUGGUGGAAUUGUGGGGAAGUAACUACUAGCCAGAGACUACCUCAAGGCCUCUUUCAUCAAGGAGAGGCCCAUAUGAUUAGUUUUCACCAGUGAGCUAGAUACAGAGGACCUAACAUACAACUCAGAGUCCCUAGAAGAUGGAGAAAACACAGACAAUUGGCAGAGGAGAUGAGCAUGUGAUUAUUGUUACCACUUGUCUGGAAGCAACCAGAAUGGAGUGGGGAAGACUCAAGGAGGAGAUCUUCACAGGACUCACCUCUCAUCACAGCUCCCGUGUGGUUGUAAUCACCCCAGAGGGAAAAAUAAUUUCGGUUUUUUAUGGUUUAAUUAUUGGUGAUAGCAGCUGUUUUGAAGACACAAACACAGAAGCAAGUUCUAGAACAUACUCACAGUUUCCUUGGUCACAGUGUUGUCAGUGGUUCUAUAAAGGUCUUAUGAAUCUCUACUUAGUUGACCACAAGUAGUAAGCAAGAAACAAUCCUGUAAAGAGAAUGGAGGUCAGAAUAAAGAAGCCUUGAGGGUUUAAAUCGCUUCUUGAAAAGAAAUGCCCGUGUGUCAAGGAGCUAAGGGAGACCAGCCCAGGAGGAGCUGAAUCCUGCCAACAAUCACUUGAGUGAACUUGAGAGUGAAUCCUCUCCAUGUUAAGCCUUGAGGUGAUUGUAGCUCCAUCAAAUACCUUCAUUGUAGCCUUGUGAGAGAUCUGAGUCAGAGGAUGGAGUUAAGCCAAGCCCAGAUUCCAGACCCUCAGAAACUUGAAAGCGGAAUACCUGGUUAUCCGGAGGUCACUGUCUCCACACAGAGUGGUGUCCUUGAUGCUAGCUUGGGGCAAAGAAGCCAGGCCAGCUUGUGGUUGCAAUAGGAAUAGAAGAGACUUCCUUACUCCAAUCCCACCCUACCCCCUCAUCCUGCCUCAACCAGUCAUGCAGAGAGAUGCUGAAUGGCUGCCUGCUCUCAGGGGAAUGAUUUGUGGAGGUUUAAUUAAAAUAAUUUAAU